rnacentral:rRNA from 1 species
ACGGGAGGCAGCAGUGGGGAAUCUUAGACAAUGGGGGCAACCCUGAUCUAGCCAUGCCGCGUGAGUGAUGAAGGCCUUAGGGUCGUAAAGCUCUUUCGCCUGUGAUGAUAAUGACAGUAGCAGGUAAAGAAACCCCGGCUAACUCCGUGCCAGCAGCCGCGGUAAUACGGAGGGGGUUAGCGUUGUUCGGAAUUACUGGGCGUAAAGCGCGCGUAGGCGGAUUAGAAAGUUGGGGGUGAAAUCCCGGGGCUCAACCCCGGAACUGCCUCCAAAACUGCUAGUCUAGAGUUCGAGAGAGGUGAGUGGAAUUCCGAGUGUAGAGGUGAAAUUCGUAGAUAUUCGGAGGAACACCAGUGGCGAAGGCGGCUCACUGGCUCGAUACUGACGCUGAGGUGCGAAAGUGUGGGGAGCAAACAGGAUUAGAUACCCUGGUAGUCCACACCGUAAACGAUGAAUGCCAGUCGUCGGAUAGUAUACUAUUCGGUGACACACCUAACGGAUUAAGCAUUCCGCCUGGGGAGUACGGUCGCAAGAUUAAAACUCAAAUGAAUUGACGG